GACGUAGGGCGCGAGCGUUGUCCGGAUUUAUUGGGCGUAAAGAGCUCGUAGGCGGCUUGUUGCGUCGGCUGUGAAAACCCAUGGCUCAACCGUGGGCUUGCAGCCGAUACGGGCAGGCUAGAGUUCGGUAGGGGAGACUGGAAUUCCUGGUGUAGCGGUGAAAUGCGCAGAUAUCGGGAGGAACACCUAUGGCGAAGGCAGCUCGCUGGGACGUUACUGACGCUGAGACGCGAAAGCGUGGGGAGCAAACAGG
rnacentral:rRNA from 1 species